rnacentral:rRNA from 1 species
UUAAGCGACUAAGCGUACACGGUGGAUGCCCUGGCAGUCAGAGGCGAUGAAGGACGUGCUAAUCUGCGAUAAGCGUCGGUGAGGUGAUAUGAACCGUUAUAACCGGCGAUUUCCGAAUGGGGAAACCCAGUGUGUUUCGACACACUAUCAUUAACUGAAUCCAUAGGUUAAUGAGGCGAACCGGGGGAACUGAAACAUCUAAGUACCCCGAGGAAAAGAAAUCAACCGAGAUUCCCCCAGUAGCGGCGAGCGAACGGGGAGGAGCCCAGAGCCUGAAUCAGUGUGUGUGUUAGUGGAAGCGUCUGGAAAGGCGCGCGAUACAGGGUGACAGCCCCGUACACAAAAAUGCACAUAUUGUGAGCUCGAUGAGUAGGGCGGGACACGUGGUAUCCUGUCUGAAUAUGGGGGGACCAUCCUCCAAGGCUAAAUACUCCUGACUGACCGAUAGUGAACCAGUACCGUGAGGGAAAGGCGAAAAGAACCCCGGCGAGGGGAGUGAAAAGAACCUGAAACCGUGUACGUACAAGCAGUGGGAGCCUCUUUAUGGGGUGACUGCGUACCUUUUGUAUAAUGGGUCAGCGACUUAUAUUCUGUAGCAAGGUUAACCGAAUAGGGGAGCCGAAGGGAAACCGAGUCUUAACUGGGCGUUAAGUUGCAGGGUAUAGACCCGAAACCCGGUGAUCUAGCCAUGGGCAGGUUGAAGGUUGGGUAACACUAACUGGAGGACCGAACCGACUAAUGUUGAAAAAUUAGCGGAUGACUUGUGGCUGGGGGUGAAAGGCCAAUCAAACCGGGAGAUAGCUGGUUCUCCCCGAAAGCUAUUUAGGUAGCGCCUCGUGAAUUCAUCUCCGGGGGUAGAGCACUGUUUCGGCAAGGGGGUCAUCCCGACUUACCAACCCGAUGCAAACUGCGAAUACCGGAGAAUGUUAUCACGGGAGACACACGGCGGGUGCUAACGUCCGUCGUGAAGAGGGAAACAACCCAGACCGCCAGCUAAGGUCCCAAAGUCAUGGUUAAGUGGGAAACGAUGUGGGAAGGCCCAGACAGCCAGGAUGUUGGCUUAGAAGCAGCCAUCAUUUAAAGAAAGCGUAAUAGCUCACUGGUCGAGUCGGCCUGCGCGGAAGAUGUAACGGGGCUAAACCAUGCACCGAAGCUGCGGCAGCGACACUAUGUGUUGUUGGGUAGGGGAGCGUUCUGUAAGCCUGUGAAGGUGGCCUGUGAGGGUUGCUGGAGGUAUCAGAAGUGCGAAUGCUGACAUAAGUAACGAUAAAGCGGGUGAAAAGCCCGCUCGCCGGAAGACCAAGGGUUCCUGUCCAACGUUAAUCGGGGCAGGGUGAGUCGACCCCUAAGGCGAGGCCGAAAGGCGUAGUCGAUGGGAAACAGGUUAAUAUUCCUGUACUUGGUGUUACUGCGAAGGGGGGACGGAGAAGGCUAUGUUGGCCGGGCGACGGUUGUCCCGGUUUAAGCGUGUAGGCUGGUUUUCCAGGCAAAUCCGGAAAACCAAGGCUGAGGCGUGAUGACGAGGCACUACGGUGCUGAAGCGACAAAUGCCCUGCUUCCAGGAAAAGCCUCUAAGCAUCAGGUAACAUCAAAUCGUACCCCAAACCGACACAGGUGGUCAGGUAGAGAAUACCAAGGCGCUUGAGAGAACUCGGGUGAAGGAACUAGGCAAAAUGGUGCCGUAACUUCGGGAGAAGGCACGCUGAUAUGUAGGUGAAGCGACUUGCUCGUGGAGCUGAAAUCAGUCGAAGAUACCAGCUGGCUGCAACUGUUUAUUAAAAACACAGCACUGUGCAAACACGAAAGUGGACGUAUACGGUGUGACGCCUGCCCGGUGCCGGAAGGUUAAUUGAUGGGGUUAGCGGUAACGCGAAGCUCUUGAUCGAAGCCCCGGUAAACGGCGGCCGUAACUAUAACGGUCCUAAGGUAGCGAAAUUCCUUGUCGGGUAAGUUCCGACCUGCACGAAUGGCGUAAUGAUGGCCAGGCUGUCUCCACCCGAGACUCAGUGAAAUUGAACUCGCUGUGAAGAUGCAGUGUACCCGCGGCAAGACGGAAAGACCCCGUGAACCUUUACUAUAGCUUGACACUGAACAUUGAGCCUUGAUGUGUAGGAUAGGUGGGAGGCUUUGAAGUGUGGACGCCAGUCUGCAUGGAGCCGACCUUGAAAUACCACCCUUUAAUGUUUGAUGUUCUAACGUUGGCCCGUAAUCCGGGUUGCGGACAGUGUCUGGUGGGUAGUUUGACUGGGGCGGUCUCCUCCUAAAGAGUAACGGAGGAGCACGAAGGUUGGCUAAUCCUGGUCGGACAUCAGGAGGUUAGUGCAAUGGCAUAAGCCAACUUGACUGCGAGCGUGACGGCGCGAGCAGGUGCGAAAGCAGGUCAUAGUGAUCCGGUGGUUCUGAAUGGAAGGGCCAUCGCUCAACGGAUAAAAGGUACUCCGGGGAUAACAGGCUGAUACCGCCCAAGAGUUCAUAUCGACGGCGGUGUUUGGCACCUCGAUGUCGGCUCAUCACAUCCUGGGGCUGAAGUAGGUCCCAAGGGUAUGGCUGUUCGCCAUUUAAAGUGGUACGCGAGCUGGGUUUAGAACGUCGUGAGACAGUUCGGUCCCUAUCUGCCGUGGGCGCUGGAGAACUGAGGGGGGCUGCUCCUAGUACGAGAGGACCGGAGUGGACGCAUCACUGGUGUUCGGGUUGUCAUGCCAAUGGCACUGCCCGGUAGCUAAAUGCGGAAGAGAUAAGUGCUGAAAGCAUCUAAGCACGAAACUUGCCCCGAGAUGAGUUCUCCCUGAGACUUAGAGUCUCCUGAAGGAACGUUGAAGACGACGACGUUGAUAGGCCGGGUGUGUAAGCGCAGCGAUGCGUUGAGCUAACCGGUACUAAUGAACCGUGAGGCUUAACCUU